GAUGAACGCUGGCGGCGUGCCUAAUACAUGCAAGUCGAGCGAACAGACGAGGAGCUUGCUCCUCUGACGUUAGCGGCGGACGGGUGAGUAACACGUGGAUAACCUACCUAUAAGACUGGGAUAAAUUCGGGAAACCGGAGCUAAUACCGGAUAAUAUAUUGAACCGCAUGGUUCAAUAGUGAAAGACGGUUUUGCUGUCACUUAUAGAUGGAUCCGCGCCGCAUUAGCUAGUUGGUAAGGUAACGGCUUACCAAGGCAACGAUGCGUAGCCGACCUGAGAGGGUGAUCGGCCACACUGGAACUGAGACACGGUCCAGACUCCUACGGGAGGCAGCAGUAGGGAAUCUUCCGCAAUGGGCGAAAGCCUGACGGAGCAACGCCGCGUGAGUGAUGAAGGUCUUCGGACCGUAAAACUCUGUUAUUAGGGAAGAACAAAUGUGUAAGUAACUAUGCACGUCUUGACGGUACCUAAUCAGAAAGCCACGGCUAACUACGUG
rnacentral:rRNA from 1 species